UGAGGAAUAUUGGUCAAUGGACGAAAGUCUGAACCAGCCAAGUAGCGUGCAGGAUGACGGCCCUCUGGGUUGUAAACUGCUUUUAGUUGGGAAUAAAAAAGAGGACGUGUCCUCUAUUGUAUGUACCUUCAGAAAAAGGACCGGCUAAUUCCGUGCCAGCAGCCGCGGUAAUACGGAAGGUCCAGGCGUUAUCCGGAUUUAUUGGGUUUAAAGGGAGCGUAGGCGGAUUAUUAAGUCAGUGGUGAAAGACGGUGGCUCAACCAUCGUUAGCCAUUGAAACUGGUAGUCUUGAGUGCAGACAGGGAUGCUGGAACUCGUGGUGUAGCGGUGAAAUGCUUAGAUAUCACGAUGAACUCCGAUCGCGAAGGCAGGUGUCCGGGCUGCAACUGACGCUGAGGCUCGAAAGUGUGGGUAUCAAACAGGAUUAGAUACCCUGGUAGUCCACACAGUAAACGAUGUAUACUCGCGGUUUGCGAUAGAGUGUAAGCCGCCAAGCGAAAGCAUUAAGUAUACCACCUGGGGAGUACGCCGGCAACGGUG
rnacentral:rRNA from 1 species